UUACAACCCUAAGGCCUUCGCGUAACGCGUGGGAAUCUGCGUAACGCGUGGGAAUCUGCGUAACGCGUGGGAAUCUGCGUAACGCGUGGGAAUCUGCGUAACGCGUGGGAAUCUGCGUAACGCGUGGGAAUCUGCGUAACGCGUGGGAAUCUGGCGUAACGCGUGGGAAUCUGCGUAACGCGUGGGAAUCUGCGUAACGCGUGGGAAUCUGUGUUGGAGUGGAAGGCCUUAGGGUUGUAACAGAUUCCCACGCGUUACGC
rnacentral:rRNA from 1 species